GAUGAACGCUGGCGGCGUGCCUAACACAUGCAAGUCGAACGAAGCACCUUACCUGAUUCUUCGGAUGAAAGUUUGGUGGCUGAGUGGCGGACGGGUGAGUAACGCGUGGGUAACCUGCCCUGUACAGGGGGAUAACAGCUGGAAACGGCUGCUAAUACCGCAUAAGCGCACGAGGAGACAUCUCCUUGUGUGAAAAACUCCGGUGGUACAGGAUGGGCCCGCGUCUGAUUAGCUGGUUGGCAGGGUAACGGCCUACCAAGGCAACGAUCAGUAGCCGGUCUGAGAGGAUGAACGGCCACAUUGGAACUGAGACACGGUCCAAACUCCUACGGGAGGCAGCAGUGGGGAAUAUUGCACAAUGGGGGAAACCCUGAUGCAGCAACGCCGCGUGAGUGAAGACGUAUUUCGGUAUGUAAAGCUCUAUCAGCAGGGAAGAUAAUGACGGUACCUGACUAAGAAGCUCCGGCUAAAUACGUG
rnacentral:rRNA from 1 species